GUAUUGAUCGCGCGUGAUCGCGCAAAGAACAUUCUACACUACGUUCGAAUGGGUGUUUAAUGUUAAAAACGUGAGGACCCCCCUCCGAGGAAGGGGGACCCACGCGGUGAUGCACAAAGGGGUGAGAUGGAUAUUUGUAUGUGAGAGCACUCGGGCGUGCACGACUAAAAGUCAGCGACAGCCCUGGUACCCCCAUUGUACGAUAAUGAUCCUUCCGCAGGUUCACCUACGGAAA
rnacentral:misc_RNA from 1 species